UACGGAGGGGGCUAGCGUUGUUCGGAAUUACUGGGCGUAAAGCGCACGUAGGCGGCUUUGCAAGUUAGAGGUGAAAGCCCGGGGCUCAACUCCGGAAUUGCCUUUAAAACUGCAUCGCUAGAAUUGUGGAGAGGUAAGUGGAAUUCCGAGUGUAGAGGUGAAAUUCGUAGAUAUUCGGUAAGAACACCAGUGGCGAAGGCGACUUACUGGACACAUAUUGACGCUGAGGUGCGAAAGCGUGGGGAGCAAACAGGG
rnacentral:rRNA from 1 species